GAUGUUAGUUAUUAUUACAGCUUUAUAAACAUGUAAGUAGAUAUAAAAUUGAAUAGCUGGCCCCACUUUAGAUCUAAAGCAGUUACGAAACCUGCAUAGUUUAGAUUAAUAGUUGAGGCAAAAUUAUUUUGGUGCUCUACUGUGCUUUUCUGAGGAAUUAUGGCAGUUUCCACUUUGCUAGCUUGAACCUUGACUCAGAAAUGAUACUGCCACGAUGACCUAUUUCUUGAAUCACUGAAACUUCUUUGUCAUGCUCUUUCAGGCUUUCAAUCCUGGGGAGGUCCAAGUAAAUCAGACACAUUUUUCUCUAUUACACCGACAAAGUCUGUUAACCCUAAUAGAACAAGGUGAUGUCUUUUUAAUGCAUAAUGAUUAGGUUUAAUAAGCGGAGAUGUGGCUGACAGUGGUUAUCACAUGGCUUUAUAGGCAUACAAAGCUGGUAGGGUACAGAAUGGGCACCAAGAAAUUUCAUAAGGUUGAAACCAGGGCAAAGCUCAGCAUGAGGGGUGAGCUGGAAGAAUGCUGUUAGCAGAGUGGUUAUUAAUAUCUGCUAAAGAACCUGACCUUUGUUGCUGUAAACAAGACCAGAUAAUUACAUGUUCAUUCUAAGAGCAACUUUGAGAUGAAAAUGGAGGCAUUUGUCAAAGGGAAGAGGAAAGCAGUUUGUACUAAAAUGAAACCUGGAGCUUUUGUCUUCACAUCUGACAGCGUUGGCCCUCGUGGCAGAUUUGUUACUUCAGGUUAAAUGGAAGCACCAAGUCAUUAACAGGACUGUGACUUCCACCCAGUUCAAAUGGGGGACAGUCAAACCAGGCACUGCGCUGAUCAUCCUGGAUGAAACCUUUGGGUGAGAACCUGGGUGACACAGGACUAAGCGGAGUGAUGCCUGACAAUGAGAUAACUUAUUACCGCUGUUACUAAUGAAGACGUUACAAAGGGUGACAGGACUUGGCUGCCGCAUCCCACCACAGAGCUAUGCAGCAUCAAAUGAAAUGAGAUCCUUCUGGAACUGACAGCUGGAGACAGCCUCGUCACCACAGUUACCAUGUCAAGUGUGGUGUGACACCUCUGUGUGUAUUUCCUUUGCAGCUAAGAACUUCUCUGCCAAUACGGAUGGAAAUAAUGAAAGAAAACUGGCUUUUGCCAGCAGAGAGGAUUAGCUGUACUAUUGAGAGAACUGUAGGGAUAUUUGGCAUGGGAUUGCAAUCUAAAAUUUUUUUCCCUAAGGAUUCUACAGAAAGCAUUUUCCUAUGAAGAGUUUACAUAGAGUUACUUUUCCUCACAUAGCCCAGGGAAGAGAAUUAGGAUGUUAACUGCCCAUCCAAUUUAUACUACCAUUUGAUUCCAUAAGUGCUGUACAGGACUCGGUUUACUCAUGGAAAAUAGCUCCUGCCAGAUCAAACAGUCAAGGCCAAAUUCAGGAUUCUGACUUUACGUGCUCUGUUCUGCCUCCACUCAUCUGGCCUCUUAGAUUGUCUUGAACUCAUGGAGCAAGGAGACCAUCAUCGUGCAACAUGCUCUCUUGCUUGAGAAUUAGUGUGCAUGCCAUCUCGGUUCCUGCAAGGACUUUCCUCAUGAAGAUCUUUCCAAGUGGAACUGAGAUAACACCUUGUACCUUUUUGUGUCCUUGUCUGUUUCAUUCACACCUCAGAACAAAACUGAAAGCUUAACUCUUAAAAGAACAUUGAUACUGAAUAGUAUUUGGUGUAUCUACAA